rnacentral:rRNA from 1 species
GCGCGUAGGCGGCAGUGUAUGUCAGAUGUGAAAUACUCCGGCUCAACCAGAGAACAGCAUCUGAAACUGCACAGCUAGAGUACAGAAGAGGGAAACGGAAUUCCCGGUGUAGAGGUGAAAUUCGUAGAUAUCGGGAGGAACACCAGUGGCGAAGGCGGUUUCCUGGUCUGAUACUGACGCUGAGGCGCGAAAGCGUGGGGAGCAAACA